AAUUUGUAUUGGUCGUGGUUCUCCUGUUGUCCCUUGGUUGUAUACUGAGAGCAGAUGAAGCUAAAAAGGAGCCAUCACGAUGUCCCUGCAGCUGGUGGUGGAGAAGAUGUAGCUGUGAUAGGAGGGAGAGGGAUUUAGCUGAUAAGCCCAAUGAACAGGACAGGCCAAUGGACGAAAUAAUUGACUCUGAGACAGCUGAAUAGACCUUCCCCAAGUUUUUUUCGCAAACUAUACUUUUCAACUUUUUAGAGGAAAUUGUUGAAACAGAAUUUGUUCAGCUAUGUUUAAUGAUUAAACAAAUUUCUUUGCCAUA